AUGAUUGGCGUUCCUUUUAGUCAAUCAGAGAUCAGAACUCCGACCACAUGACGCCACCCCAGCCAACCAGUGUGGAGGGAGGGCGUGAGUCGGCACCGAGCUGAGGGCAGUGUCGUGUCCGCGGUGGGCUCCGGCGUCGACUCGACCCUGUGAUUUGCUCCAAAAUGGCCUUGCCAUUGAGUGCUGCAGAGAUUCGCCAGAAAUUUAUUGAUUUCUUUAAACAACACAGCCAUGAGUAUGUGCACUCCUCAGCGACUAUUCCUCUUGAUGACCCCACUCUUCUCUUUACAAAUGCUGGCAUGAAUCAGUUUAAACCAAUCUUCUUGAACACCAUCGAUCCAUCCCACCCAAUGGCAAAAUUACUAAGAGCUACAAAUACUCAGAAAUGUAUACGGGCUGGAGGAAAACACAAUGACCUGGAUGAUGUGGGGAAGGAUGUUUACCAUCAUACUUUUUUUGAAAUGUUGGGUUCUUGGUCCUUUGGUGAUUACUUCAAGGAGCUGGCUUGCAAAAUGGCAUUGGAACUGUUGACGAAAGAGUUUGGAAUCUCCAUCGACAGGCUUUAUGUAACUUACUUCGGAGGGGAUGAAAGAGCUGGGCUGGAGCCAGAUCUUGAAUGCAAGCAGAUCUGGACAAACCUAGGAAUGGCAGAAGAAAGGAUUCUGCCAGGCAGCAUGAAGGAUAAUUUCUGGGAGAUGGGUGACACUGGCCCUUGCGGCCCGUGCAGCGAGAUACAUUAUGAUCGUAUUGGAGGACGUGAUGCUGCUCACCUGGUCAACAUGGAUGACCCUAAUGUUCUGGAGGUCUGGAAUCUUGUGUUCAUUCAAUUCAACAGAGAGAGUGAUGGCAGUCUGAAACCCCUGGCCAAGAAGAGCAUUGAUACUGGGAUGGGUUUUGAGCGGCUAGUGUCAGUCCUACAAGGCAAAAUGUCAAAUUAUGACACAGACUUAUUUCUGCCUUAUUUUGAAGCAAUUCAGAAAGGAACUGGUGUCAGGCCAUAUACAGGGAAGGUGGGAACUGAAGAUAUUGAUGGAAUUGACAUGGCAUACAGAGUGCUGGCAGAUCAUGCACGGACGAUAACAAUUGCACUGUCUGAUGGAGGCAGACCAGAUAAUACUGGUAGAGGGUAUGUUUUGAGGCGGAUUUUACGAAGAGCAGUGCGAUACUCCCAUGAAAAGUUGAAUGCAUCAAAGGGAUUCUUUGCAUCUCUGGUUGACGUGGUGGUAGAAUCUUUGGGAUAUGCAUUCCCAGAGCUAAAAAAAGAUCCAGAUACGUUGAAGGAUAUUAUUAAUGAAGAGGAGGAGCAGUUCUUGAAAACACUAAACAGGGGGAGGCGGAUCCUUGAGCGGAAGAUCCAGAGCUUGACUGACAAUAAAAUCAUACCAGGUGAUACAGCUUGGUUGCUUUAUGACACCUAUGGAUUUCCUGUGGAUUUGACGGGACUGAUCGCUGAAGAGAAGGGACUCCGUGUAGACCUAGAGGGCUUUGAGGAAGAGAAAAAAGCUGCUCAACUGAAAUCUCAAGGGAAGGGUACGGGUGAUGAUGAUCACAUCAUGCUAGACAUCUAUGCAAUUGAUGACUUGCGUGCUAAAGGGUUUGAAGUCACUGAUGAUUCACCGAAGUAUAACUACAAGUCAGAUGACAGUGGAAACUAUGCUUUUGAGUCGAUAGAGGCCACAGUAAAAGCAAUCCGUAUGGAGAAAAUGUUCGUGGAGGAGGUGAAAACGGGUCAGGAUUGUGGCGUGUUGCUUGAUGCUACCUGCUUCUAUGCUGAACAAGGUGGACAGAUUUAUGAUGAGGGCUACUUGAUAAAAGAAGAUGACAGCAAUGAAGAUAAAACUGAGUUCACAGUGAAAAAUGUACAGGUACGAGGCGGUUAUAUCCUACACAUCGGAACAAUUUAUGGACAUCUCAAAGUAGGAGAUAAAGUUCGUCUGUACAUAGAUGAGACCAGGAGACGAACUGUCAUGAGUAACCACACCAGCACCCACAUGCUGAACUUUGCCCUGCGGUCUGUGCUGGGUGAGGCUGACCAACGAGGUUCUCUGGUGGCACCAGACAGGCUCCGCUUUGACUUCACAGCCAAGGGAGCUAUGAGCACGCAGGAGAUAAAAAAAUGUGAAGAGUUAACAAACAAAAUGAUUCAAGAUGCCAAGCCAGUUUAUGCCAUGAAUGCUCCCCUUGUUGCUGCCAAAGCUAUUCAGGGACUUCGUGCUGUAUUUGAUGAGACGUAUCCUGACCCAGUACGAGUGGUGUCUGUGGGAAUUCCAGUGGAAGACUUGGUAGCUGACCCAUCGGGACCAGCAGGCUCUGUCACUUCAGUGGAAUUUUGUGGUGGAACGCAUCUGCAGAACUCUCAUCAUGCUGGUCCUUUUGUGAUUGUGUCAGAAGAGGCUAUCGCUAAGGGCAUCAGGAGAAUAGUCGCAGUCACAGGGUUUGAGGCACAAAAGGCUCUAAGAAAGGCAGAUGCUCUCCAGAAAUCUCUUGAUGCACUACAGUCUAAGGUCCAAGUUCAAACUACUCCCAGUAAAGAGAUCCAGAAAGAAAUUGCUGACCUUACAGAGAUGAUCGGUACUGCAGCCAUCCCCCAGUGGCAGAAGGAUGAGCUGAGAGACAAGCUGAAGUCACUGAAGAAAACUAUGGAUGACCUGGACAGAGCUGGAAAAGCAGAGCUGCUGAAGAAGGUUCGCGAGAAAACCAAGCAGUUCAUAGACGCUCAUCCAAACCAGCCUCUGGUGGUAAUGGAAAUGGAACCAGGAGCACCAGCCAAGGCACUGAACGAAUCUCUAAAGCUGUUUAAGACACACUCACCUCAGACGGCAGCCAUGUUGUUUGCUGUAGAUAAGGACGCAGGAACAGUCACGUGUUUGUGCCAGGUGCCCCAGGAAACUGUAAGCAAGGGUUUGAAAGCCAGUGAUUGGAUUGGUCACAUAUCAGUACUACUGGAUGGAAGAGGUGGAGGAAAGGACAUGUCUGCUCAAGCCACAGGGAAAAACAUCAAUGGCCUUGAAAAAGCACUGAAGCUGGCAACUGAGUUUGCUAAACUUAAAAUAGGAGACCUCAAAAACUAAGAAGAAAAUGGUUGAAUAACUUGAAAGACUGUAAUGAUGUGGGGAUAGGUCUGGCUCCACUGUCCAGUAGCUAACAUAAACAAAGCUGCCAACUGAUACAGGAAAAUGAAUGUCUCAGAUUCUUUAAACAGCUUUUCAGCAACUAAUCAUCUUUAUCAAACCUCUGUCAUUGAUCGCAUACACAGUAAGUACAAAGAAAGAAUACACAUGACAAGAUGGGACAAACAACCAAUGUGCAAAAGACAACAAACUGCAAAUGCAUAAAGAAAAUAGUAAGUAUGAACAACAUGAGAUGAAGAGUCCUUGAAGGUGAGUGAUGUUAUUUCUCUGGUUCAAGAGCCUGAUGGUUGAGGGGUAAUAUUAGUUCCUGAAGUGGGUAGCAUGGAUCCUGAGGCUCCUGUAUCACCUUUCUGAUGGCACCAGAGAGAAAUGAGCAUGGCCUGGGUGAUGGGAGUCCCUGAUGAUAGAUGCUACUUUGUGCAACAGCACUCCAUGUAGAUGUGCUCAGUGGGGGGUUGGGGGGGAGGACUUUACCUGUGAUGGGCUUAGUCAUUUCCAAGGGCAUUGGUGUUUCCAUACCAGGAUGUGAUGCAACUAGUUGAUAUACUCCCUGCCAACUUCUAAGUAGAGGUGCUGCUGCAGUUUCUUUGUAAUGGCACUUAGGUGCUGAAUCCAGGACCAAUCCUCUGAGAUGAUAACACCAAGGAAUUCCAAGAUGCUACCCAUGCCACCUCCAAUAAGGAUUGGCUUAUGGACCUCCAAAUUCCUCUUAAAAUUAAUAGUCUGCUCCUUGAUCAUGCUGACUGAGUGAGAGGUUGUUAGGCAACACGCAGCCAGAUUUUCAAUCUCCCUCCUAUAUGCUGAUUCAUCACCACACUUGAUUUGGCUAACUCAGUAGGUCAGGCAGCAUUUGGAGGGAAUUAAACAGAUGACAUUUCAAGUCAAGACCCUUCACAGUGACAGUCUUGACACAGUGUACACUGAUUAAUUACUUGGGUUCAUUUAGAACCAACCUGAAAAAUGAAUACAAUCUGAUGGAUGCGUGUGGGAGAGGACUAAAGGGUGUGAUUAUACUUAACUACUUCACAUAAUCCUCCAUAACUUCAGCCAUCUCCAAUGGAAUCCAGCCUCACCCCCCACUUGUAACUAUGAGUUAACAUACCUCAUACUACCUGUGAAUUACUAGAAUUAAAUAUUCUGGUUGAACCACUGAUCAAACUCACUAAAAUGACAGCUGGAAAUAGUUGAUGUGUAGGCAGAGUUGAAAGGCAUUUGAGAAAAGCACUACAUAAUUAUAAAAAUAAAGCCUGAGAGUUUAAAGGGAGAGUGGAUUUGGGCUUGUCACCUGUUUCACCUAAUCCCAUUUGCUUGUUCUGCCUAUUUCUAAUUAUCUCUUAAACACUGUGAUUCUAUCUGAAUUCCUCCAACAGUAUGUUCCAGAUAUCAGCCUAUGUUUAAAAAAAGCUUUACCCUCCGAUCUGCUUUUUAAAACUUUCCUCUCACCUUAAACCUAUGACCUCUUGGUUCUGAUACCCUUAACAUGAGAUUUGGUUAACUAACCCAUGUAUGCCCUUAAGUGCUUAUCUAAUUUCUAUGCCCCCUUUGCUCCAGGGAAAUGAAGCCCAGUCUUUCCAAUCUCCAUUACCAAUCCUCCGAUCCUGGUGAAUCUCCAUUACACUCUUCAGUACAGCCACAUUCUUCCCAUCAAGUGGCAACCAAAGCUGCACACAAUUCACAGUAAGUUGCAACAUAAUGCACCAAUUCAAAUACUCUGUGCCUCCACCUAUGAAGGCAAACAUAUCAUAUGUCACCUUCUGCUAUCAGGAAGGAAGUACAGGAGCCUCAGGACCCAUUUUAGGAACAAAUAUUACCUCUCAACCAUCAGGCCCUUGAACCAGAGGGAUAACUUCAAUCACCCCAACACUGAACUUAACUCACUUUCAAGGACCUUCAUACGUCAUAUGGUAGUGAGGGAGGAGAUGUAGGGGCAGGUGAGGGUCUCAUUGUCCUCACCUACCACCCCACUAACCUCUGCAUCCAGCACAUAAUUUUCCAUAACUUCCACCAACAGGAUCCCACUAAGCACAUCUUUCCUCCACCUCCCCCCCCCUCCACUUUCUGCUUUCCGCAGGGAUCACUCCCUACACGACUUCCUUGUCCACUCCCACUGAUCUCCCUCCUGACACUUGUCCUUGCAAGUGGAACAAGUGAUACACCUGCCCCUACAUCUCCUCUCUCACCACCAUUUGUCAUAUGAAGGUCUUUGAAACUGAGUUCAGUGAGCUUCCAAACAACUCAUCCAGGUGAGGUGACACUUCACCUACUCGUCUACCGUAUCUGGUGCUCCUGGUGUGGCCUCUCGUAUAUCAGUGAGACCCAACGUAGAUUAGGAGACUGCUUCACCUAUACUCUGUCCAUCAGAAAAAGCGGGAUCUCCCAGUGGCCACUCAUUUCAAUAGCACUUCCCACUCCGAUUCCAACGUGUCAUUCCAUGGCCUCUACUGUCACAAUGAGGCCACACUCAACUUGGAGGAACAAUACCUUGUAUUCUGUCUGGGUAGCCUCCAACCUGAUGGCAUGAACAUUGAUUUCUCUAAUUUCUGGUAAUUGCCCCGCCCCCAACCCUCGCCAUUCCCACUGUAUAUCUUGUCCCUGGAGAAGAAGGAUGCCUGGAGAAGAAGGAUGCUUCUGUGAGAAUGCAGUUCUUGGACUACAGUUCAGCAUUCAACACCACAGUUCCACCCAGGCUCGACAGGAAGCUCAGAGACCUCAGCCUUGACCCUGUCUUGUGCAGCAAUCACCUGUCAGGUCAUCGGCAGAUGGUAAGAGUGAGCUCCCUCACCUCCAAUCCUCUGACUGUCAACACAGGAGCCCCUCAGGGCUGCAUGCUGAGUCCCCUCCUUUACUCUCUGUAUACCUAUGACUGUAUCACCACCCACAGCUCCAAUCUGCUAAUUAAAUUUGCCAAUGACUCUACAUUGAUUGGCCUCAUCUCAAACAAUAACAAGGUGGCCUACAGAGAAGAAGUCAUCACACUGACACAGUGGUGUCAAGAAAACAACCUCUUCCUCAAUGUCGCAAAAACAAAGGAGCUGGUUGUGGAUUACCGGAGGAAUGGAGAUGGGCUAACCCCUACUGACAUCAAUGGAUCUGGGGUUGAGAUGGUAAACAGCUUCAAGUUCCUCGGCAUCCACAUCACCGAGGACCUAACGUGGUCUGUACAUACCAGCUGUGUGGUGAAAAAGACACAACAGCACCUCUUUCACCUCAGAUGGUGAGGAAGUUUGGUAUAGGCUCCCAAAUCCUAAGAACUUUCUACAGGGGCACAAUUGAGAGCAUCUUGACUGGCCACAUCACUGCCUGGUAUGGGAACUAAUCUACCUUAAUCUGUAGUUGUGAACUUUCCAUAAUUCAGGACAUUUACAAGGACAGGUGUGUGAAAAGGGCCUGAAGGAUCAUUGGGGACCCGAGUCACCCCAACCACAAACUGUUCCAACUGCUAUCAUCCAGGAAAUGGUACCGCAGUAUAAAAGCCAGGACCAACAGGCUCCAGGACAGCUUCUUGCACCAGGCCAUCAGACUGAUGAACUCACGCUGAUUUGAGUGUAUUUCUAUUGUACGCCUCAGGUUCUGCCACUGCAGAAGUCCAGGGAAGACGAUCUCUGGCCUCACCAAACGUGUGAAAUUGAGCCAAUAAAAGCCCAUAUCUCGCCUCA